rnacentral:lncRNA from 1 species
ACACACACAGGAGCAGACAAGAGUCCCCGCCAGGCCACAGCAACUUCCUUUCUCCCAGUCUGGAAAUGUCCGCAGUUGCCCUUAAGGCUUAAACUUUUUCAGAGGGAGCGCCAGGGAUCGCACAGCAAGCAUAUCGAGGCCUGGGGGUUCUGGGCAGGGUUGCUUCUCCCUUGGGGCUCUUGCCUUCCUCCCUCUCCCACACACUCCUCACCUGGUAAACCGAGGCACAGCAGAAGGCUGUAGUAGACCACGGGCACGAAGCCCAAGCCGCAGACCGAGCCGGGGGACCAGGACAACGAGCUGUUGGCUACGAGGUGGGCGUGCGUGUGCUCCAUGAGCUCGCCCCUCGCUCCCCUAGUCUCCGCGCCCGGCCUGCCAGCCCCGCUCUGGACGCCGGUUCGGUGGUGGCGGCGGCAGAGGCAGCAGCUGGAGCAGCAGCGCCUCUCUUCCCGCAGGACUUGCUCCUACCCUUUGCCGUGGUUCCCUCUGCUCCCUCCGCACCUGCUUGCCUGGAGUCCUGGCACGGCCCUUGUGUAGGGCACAGGGCGCUGGGCGCAGGGACUCGGGAGGGGCUCCCAGAGCUGGUCAGUGCGCCUCCCACCUCGGACCUGCUCGGCUCCCGCCUCGGAGACGGGAAGCUGGGACGCUGCUCCCUGCAGCCAAUCAGCAACUGCCUGGACGCCGAUGAUGGAACCCAGAUGCCAUGCUGUGAGAAGCUCAGGCUGCAUGGAGAAGACACAUGGGUAAGAAGUGAGGCAGUUUGCUUGAUGGUCCCACCCGAGCAUCCAGCUGACCUCAGCUGCUGGCCAGGUGAGUAAGCCAUCGAGGAUGUUCUGUACCAGUUGUGCUUCACAGAUAACUGUAUCCUCAGCCAUAUAG